UUUGACUUUGCCACCAAGAUAUAAAGUAAUGGCUGUUAAUAGGAAGAAAUACAGAAACGAGAAUGACGGAAGAACAAACAGUCAGAUAGCCCUCAAUCUUGUACCAUUUUAAAAAUUUACUGAGGAAGAGCAGGAGAGAGGGGAAGAAAAGAAGACUUUAUGUUAUCUCAGAGACGACUGGAUUCAGUCUGAUGUCAGAGUUGGCGAUAUAAUACAUAUUGUCUCCAGCUGCUCAACUUUAAGUGCUUCUGUUUCUCAUGCUCCUUCACAGGAUUGCUUUGUCAUCAGUAAUGAUAAUGCUGGAUGUAUUAUCAUUAAUCCAGAUUAUCUUGUUUGUGUAAGUAGCAUUAGUAAUGGAAUCACUUGCACCAGAAGAUCUAUCCUUGAGGAUCUAUUCAAAGGUUAUUCUCAAACAGAAGCUAUGUUGGUUGGUAAGUUACUCCACUAGAUGUUUCAAAAGGCAAUACUAGCCGCUUCACAGCAUGCAUCAGUGGUCACCAGAGACUUUGUACUAUCAUUGAUACCUCCUUUAGUGAACAAUGUAUCAGUUAUGCAAGAACUUUAUGUAUUAGGAUUAACUGAAUGUAAUUUAUCUGAGAGUUUAUCUGAGCAUGUGAAUCUCAUAGCUACAUGGUGCAAUCAGUAUCAAAAUAUUACCUACACGAAUAAUAAUAAGAUUGAGUGGAAAAGAUUCCCUCGUUCCAAAACUGAACUGGUUAACAUGUGUAUCACAGACGUUACAGACAUAGAGGAAAGCGUAUGGUCUCCUAGGU